rnacentral:rRNA from 1 species
GAUGAACGCUGGCGGCGUGCCUAACACAUGCAAGUCGAGCGACGCGGGGACGCGUGAGUAACACGUGGAUAACCUCCUAUAUGGCUGGGAUAACGUCCGGAAACCGGAGCUAAAACGGAUACUUAUACAUGAAUCGACGAGGCAUUAGCUAGUUGGUAGGGUAACGGCGUACACAGGCAACGAUUCAUAGCCGACCUGAGAGGGUGACCGGCCACACUGGAACUGAGACACGGUCCAGACUCCUACGGGAGGCAGCAGUAGGGAAUCUUCCGCAAUGGGCGAAAGCCUGACGGAGCAACGCCGCGUGAGUGAUGAAGGUCUUCGGGUCGUAAAACUCUGUUAUCAGGGAAGCGGUACCUAAUCAGGAAGCCCCGGCUAACUCCGUGCCAGCAGCCGCGGUAAUAC